rnacentral:lncRNA from 1 species
GCUGAAUUUUGACAUAAUUUCUUUUGAUGCAGCUAGCAGGUGGCAGAGGUGUAUUUGAAAGUCAGCAGUAUCCUGACAGCGAUUAGAAUGUCCUCCGGCUGCUAGUCUUCUUGAUUCUUAAAUUCUGUGGAGCUCAAAUAGACAACAAAGCUUUGUGGAACUGAUUAAGUGUUAGCAUAAAUAUCUAGCCUUUAUCAUGUUGAGACUCCUCAAUAAAUGUUACUCCCUAUUUAUAUUUUCAUUUUAUAAAGCAGAAAAAAAUAUUUAUUUUGUUUUUAUGCCACCACAGUGAAUGUACUCAUGGGUUUCAUGCCACUCGUAUACUCACGUGGGGCUUACUAUUUUUUUAACAUUUUUAUUUUCUUUUUAGGAUAGUAUGAACAUGAUUAACUAAGCAAACUAUAUUAAAUAAUUGAAAGGGAAAGGAAAACUACCAAGUUUACCUCUCGGCAAGGCGUUCAGGUUUUUUAAGUCCUCUGAACGGGACUAUCCGUUUUCUCAGUAGUCCUGGGAUUCGUUGGUUGGCGGAGUCGGUACUUCCGGCAGCGCCUCUUCUUCAUGUAUGGUUAUCUUCUCUUUCCACACCUGACUCGGUGCUUCGGUCUCCUCUAGAUAAUUCUGUUUAAACUCUACGUCUUCUGACCUUACCACUUCUCCUUCAUAGUCUGCCCAUCCGUCCUUGAUGAUUUGCCUCCUCUAGUUGCGGUUACGUCGCUUUCUGACCUACUUAGAUUCUUCAACGAUAUAGUUAGGGUCAGUAAAAUAGCGGCGUACCUUCUCUAAGGGGAAGUGCAUAUGGACUUCUCCAGUUCCAAUGUAGAUGACUGCUUUGAAGGUGCUGAGGAAUGGUCUUCCAAGGAUGAUGGGUGGAUCGUAUUCGUCUUCUCCCAUGUCAAUAACCUGAAAGUCUGUGUAGACAAAAAUGAUCGUCUAUUUUCACAGGGACAUCAGUUAUUGUUCCUUUAACCUCUCGAAACGUCUGAUCUGCCAUCUAUGUAUGUUGGUUUUAGGGGCAUGGUUCCGAACAAGAGCCGAUAGGUGACUAUGGCCAUUAUGUUGACGCCCGAUCCGGUGUCGCAAAAUGUCUUGUAAAAGUUGUAUCCAUUUAUAGAGCAAUAGAUGCUUGGCAUUCCUGGGUCGUCCUUCUUGGUCAAAAACGGUGACUUAAGUUGGUGAUCUUGACCUCCAUGAACUGCAGUGACCAUCUUAGCUGACUCGGUCCACACUUGCUUGUUCCUGUUCCUCCUGUUGGUCCUUUUCCUUGGUUCAAGUCUGGAUUGAUCUGGGAUUUGUGUAGUCUUGUUCUUGAAGGAAAACGUCUCCUUCCUCCCUUUGAUGUAGAAACUGAUCUUGGCAGCACUAGCGUAGAUGACAGCUCCCGAGGUGUUUAAGAAUGGCGUCCCUAAGAUGAUGGGUGCUCUCUCAUCAUUACCGGUCUCUAUCACCACAAAGUCUGCUGGGGCAUAUA